GAUGAACGCUAGCGGCAGGCCUAAUACAUGCAAGUCGAACGGGAUCCAGAUCAAAGCUUGCUUUGGUUUGGUGAGAGUGGCGCACGGGUGCGUAACGCGUGAGCAACCUACCCUUGUCAGGGGGAUAGCCCGGCGAAAGUCGGAUUAAUACCGCAUGACAUCAUUGAGAGGCAUCUUUCGAUGAUCAAAGAUUUAUCGGACAAGGAUGGGCUCGCGUGACAUUAGCUAGUUGGUAAGGUAACGGCUUACCAAGGCUACGAUGUCUAGGGGCGCUGAGAUGAGAACCCCCCACACUGGUACUGAGACACGGACCAGGCUCCUACGGGGGGCAGCAGUAAGGAAUAUUGGUCAAUGGACGGAAGUCUGACCCAGCCAUGCCGCGUGCAGGAAGACGGCCCUAUGGGUUGUAAACUGCUUUUAUACGGGAACAAACGUCGGUACGUGUACCGGUCUGAGUGUACCGUAAGAAUAAGGAUCGGCUAACUCUGUGCCAGCCGCCGCCGUAA
rnacentral:rRNA from 1 species